UUAAGUUCAGCGGGUAGUCCUACUCGAUUUGAGGCCAAGUUGUCAGUCAUUGUCCGAAGACGGUUUGAAAGCACAGAGCUCUGGAUCAGCCACCCUUGAAGUAAGGAGCCAGCGAAGAUACCUAUCACGCUGUACUAUGUCCAAUCCGGAGAUGCACUAAUGCAUUUAAGGUGAGCCGCGGUAAAGCAGCGACACCCAAG
rnacentral:misc_RNA from 1 species